rnacentral:pre_miRNA from 1 species
AUUAUAGUCUUGGUCGUCAACAAGUCUCAGACUGGACUCUAUACUCUUGGUCGUCCUAAGACUAUAGAGUCCUGUCUGAGACUUGUUGACGACCAAGACUAUAAAAGUC